UGGAGAUCGAUCGUAAUAGUUGCUUGUGAUUGGAAGCCUUUUGUUGGUGGUAUUAACUUUGUCUGAUGUCUCCUGGAUUAGCCUCUAUGCCCGUCUUCAAGGCAUGGAGAUUGCUAUAUAGAAUGUGGCUCAUCCACCCUUGGCUUUGGAGGUGUCACACGACAUUCUCCUUUCUAAGGCCGUGGAAUGAGGGCAUAUCUUGAUAUUGUCGCAAAUGUGGCUCCUUCGAAAUCGGGUCCUGGUGCCGUGGCGCCUUUGCUCGAGUUGUGAUUUAUCCAAGCGGAUAUUGCCUUCAUCUUCUGUGCGACUUUGGUGCUUUCUCCUCCUGUCAUAUGAAAUGUGUGACUGUGGUGGGGUGAGAUCAUGGUUGCGUUGAGGACGUGCUACCUGGUUGAUCCUGCCAGUAGUCAUAUGGCUUGUCUA
rnacentral:misc_RNA from 1 species